UCGCCUGUUUAUCAAAAACAUCGCCUCUUGCAAAACUCAAAAAUAAGAGGUCCCGCCUGCCCUGUGACUAUUUGUUUAACGGCCGCGGUAUUUUGACCGUGCGAAGGUAGCGCAAUCACUUGUCUCUUAAAUGGAGACCCGUAUGAAUGGCAUAACGAGGGCUUAACUGUCUCCUCUUUCAAGUCAAUGAAAUUGAUCUCCCCGUGCAGAAGCGGGGAUACAAACAUAAGACGAGAAGACCCUAUGGAGCUUUAGACACUAAGGCAGCCCACGUUAAAGACCCUAAAUAAAGGAUUAAACCAAGUGAGCCCUGCCCUAAUGUCUUUGGUUGGGGCGACCGCGGGGAAUUAAAGAACCCCCACGUGGAAUGGGAACACCCUUCCUACAACUAAGAACUACAGUUCUAGUAAACAGAAUUUCUGACCAGCAAGAUCCGGCAAUGCCGAUCAACGGACCGAGUUACCCUAGGGAUAACAGCGCAAUCCUCUUUUAGAGCCCAUAUCGACAAGGGGGUUUACGACCUCGAUGUUGGAUCAGGACAUCCUAAUGGUGCAGCCGCUAUUAAGGGUUCGUUUGUUCAACGAUUAAAGUCCUACGUGAUCUGAGUUCAGAC
rnacentral:rRNA from 1 species